ACCCCGCUGAAGCCCUAAUUCCGAGCGCGCGAACUAAAUUUUGCGAAUCGUCUCUUGAGCCCGCCUCUUCUCCUUCCUGCGUGCGACUCAAGCGGUGAUUUUGCGAAUCGUCUCCGGAGCCCUCUUCUCCUUCCUGCGGUGCGACUCAAGCGGCGAGUAGUUGACUGUUGGAUCUGUGGUGACCCCCACUCGAUUCUCUGUUUUGCAUUCGUAGAGUUUGCCGAUGAGGAGGGUGCUAGAGCAGCUUUGAGUAUUGGUGGAACCAUGCUAGGUUACUAUCCUGUCAAAGUUUUACCUUCAAAAACUGCAAUUUUGCCGAAGAAACAGGAGGCUGCUAUCAAACUACAUAAUGAAGGCAAGCAAGAUGUGGAAAAUACUUUUUCUAAUUGCAAGGACCAGCAGGCACUCAGUAGAGGGGUUAAAUCUUGCUCUGAUAAUGAGAAAAUUGAUAGUGAGAUUCAUGUGAUAGAUAAUAAACCUAUGUUGAUGCUUCAUUGCAUUAAUUCAGAUGUCCUUUCUGAAGGCAAGGCUUGUGAGUCCACCUGUUUAAGUCUUGGAAUAAUGGGAUUCUAAAAACCUUUUUUUAUUAGGGUGUUUGAGCCAGACAUAUAUAUAAUUCUCCAGUGACGAAGGUAUCAUGGGAUUCUAAAAACCUUUUUUUAUUAGGGUGUUUGAGCCAGAAUUAUUUCAACUCAUGAUAGAAAUGGUCUUGUAACAGAUAUUUCAUCCCAUACAUGAUCAAUCUUUCUAUUUGUCAAUGGAUCACAAAAGGAAACUUAAGGAGGAAUAUGGAAUUGAGUCAUGGUCGUUUGUGCAGAAACUUGGAGAAGCUGUAUUCAUCCCAGCAGGAUGCCCACAUCAAGUUAGAAACUUGAAGGUAUGCUAAUUAGGAGAUUUUAAGUUGUGUUAACUUUAUGCAUUAUUUUGAUCAUUGACUAGCAUUAAGCACUGUUUUUUGUUUGUUCACUUAAGUUCUUCUUCCAUCUGAAUUUUCAUGUAAGUUUAUGAUCCAUCGACCCUCUUCUUAAUUUAAUUUUCUUGCUGUAGAUA